rnacentral:rRNA from 1 species
CCUACGGGUGGCAGCAGUGGGGAAUAUUGGACAAUGGGGGGAACCCUGAUCCAGCCAUGCCGCGUGUGUGAAGAAGGCCCUCGGGUUGUAAAGCACUUUCAGUGAGGAAGAACGCCUGGUGGUUAAUACCCAUCAGGAAAGACAUCACUCACAGAAGAAGCACCGGCUAACUCCGUGCCAGCAGCCGCGGUAAUACGGAGGGUGUGAGCGUUAAUCGGAAUUACUGGGCGUAAAGCGCGCGUAGGUGGCUUGAUAAGCCGGUUGUGAAAGCCCCGGGCUCAACCUGGGAACGGCAUCCGGAACUGUCAAGCUAGAGUGCAGGAGAGGAAGGUAGAAUUCCCGGUGUAGCGGUGAAAUGCGUAGAGAUCGGGAGGAAUACCAGUGGCGAAGGCGGCCUUCUGGACUGAAACUGACACUGAGGUGCGAAAGCGUGGGUAGCAAACAGGAUUAGAUACCCCAGUAGUC